UACGUAGGGUGCGAGCGUUAAUCGGAAUUACUGGGCGUAAAGCGUGCGCAGGCGGUUCGUUAUGUCCGUUGUGAAAGCCCCGGGCUCAACCUGGGAAUGGCAAUGGAAACUGGCGGGCUAGAGUGUGGCAGAGGGGGGUGGAAUUCCGCGUGUAGCAGUGAAAUGCGUAGAGAUGCGGAGGAACACCGAUGGCGAAGGCAGCCCCCUGGGCUAGCCACUGACGCUCAGGCACGAAAGCGUGGGGAAGCAAACAGGGAGUUAAGA
rnacentral:rRNA from 1 species